GGCCAGUGAUGUAAGGAAUAUAUUUGCUACUCUUGAUUGGAUUCAUCCAGAAUCCAUGUGAUGAUUUUUUUCCACCAAGAUCUCUGAGGCC
rfam:Spinacia oleracea cultivar SynViroflay scaffold25878.con0001.1, whole genome shotgun sequence.